AACGAACGCUGGCGGUAUGCUUAACACAUGCAAGUCGAACGAACAAAAUUGGGGCUUGCUCCAAUUCUAGUGAGAGGCAAACGGGUGAGUAACACGUGGGCAUCUACCUAUCAGUACGGAAUAACAUUUGGAAACAGAUGCUAAUAACGUAGAUUCUGCAAGGAGGAAAGAUUUAUCGCUGAUAGAUGAGGCCGCGUAAGAUGAGGUAUUGGGUAGGGUAAUGGCAUACCAAGGCGACGACCUUUAGCUGGUCUGAGAGGAUGAUCAGCCACACUGAGACUGAGACACGGCCCAGACUCCUACGGGAGGCAGCAGUGGAAAAUAUGGGACAAUGGGCGAAAGCCUGAUCCAGCAAUACCGCGUGAAUGAUGAAGGCCUUAGGGUUGUAAAGUUCUUUUAGUUGGAAAGAUAAUGACGGUACCAACAGAAAAAGCCCCGGCUAACUCCGUGCCAGCAGCCGCGGUAA
rnacentral:rRNA from 1 species